GACUAAGCACACACACACAGAGGGAGAGAGGGGAAUUAGGACCCUUAAGCUGUGAUGCCCUCCUCCUAGAGCAAGACCCCCCAGUGCUGCUCUGUGUCCCCAGGAAUUGUGUGGCAAGUGUGGAGAGGGGAGAAGUGAACGGUCUUAAGCAUUUCAGUGGUAAAGGGAGGAAAGGGGGUGGGUCGGGAGAACUGUGCAGUAUUUUUAAAGGAUCCUGGUUAAAUCAUGACAUCUAACAUUUGUUUAGGACUCAUGUAUGAGACACAGUACUUAGCACUUUUCUUCCUGAUCCCGUAUAAUUCAUGUGCCGACCUCAUGACAGAGGAGUUUCUUUCAUCUUCAUUUAACAGUUGAGGAUAUUGGAGCAGAAAGAAGUCAAGUAACCACCUUGUAAGAUAUCCCAACAGAAAACAGAUCUCAUGUCUCUACCCCUCAGUGGCAGAAUGUGACCCGGAAGCAAAUGGGAAAAACAGUUCUGGGAAAUGAAGACUUCUCCCCUGUGAUGCAAAGCAAAAUCUGGAGAGAGGGAGAGAUGACAUGGAAUUAACAACAGACAGUCUGGCAAAAUGAACUAAAGGUCAACAAAAGACAAAAGAAGAAGAUGGCCACCAAUUCAAGGAGAGAGGCCUCAAAAGAAUCUAAACUUGCCAAUAUCUUCAUCCAGGACCUGUAGCAUUUAGAACUGUGAAAAAAAAUUCUGUUAAGCCACCCAGUCUGUGGUAAUUGUUAUGGCAGCUCAAGCAAAUGAAUACAACAUCCUAUAACUAAGAGGAAGAACAAGGCUGAAGGAAGUGACUUCUAUCAUGUCAGAGACAGCAUCCUUCGUGGCAUUCCUGAAUUGCUAAAGCAAAAUCAAGCCCAAGGCUUAUUCUGCUGCUGAAAUUUGCAUGACGAAAGCAAAAUUGUCCCCUUUUUUGCUUUAUUGUUUCAAAUGUAACUUAAACAGUUGAACCAAAUACAUCACCGUGUCCUUGGUAUCUGCAACUAACUGUAAUGACAUAAUUAGUGCUUAAUAAUAUUUGUUGAAAGACUAGAGGAAGGAAUGAAAGAAUAAGCCACAAACGGAACUGUAGUGUGUUGAUCAGGGAAGCCCGGUGAGACAGCAAGCAACAGAGGAGGGAAUCAAUCUUAUUAUCACUAUUAUUACUACAUUCCAUUGGCCAUUUUCCUUCCAUAUGGAUGAGGACCCAGAUAGUACCAUUAUUAAGCAAAACAGAGCUAAUUGAUAAAGGUGACCUGUACUCAUUAUGACAAAAGUUGUUUAAUCAGCAGACAUCUGAAGGUGUAAAAAAAUCCCCUCAAUUUCUACAACUGCAAAUUUCUAAUUAGAAGCACAAGACUGCUAGAGCCAGAUCACUUCUGAUCUCUUAAGCCCAUCCAGAUAGCUUCUUCAUUUUAGAGUUGAGAAAACAGAAGGCUUAGUGAGGUGCAGUGCCUUUUCCAGGUUACAUAGUGUGAUGAUCAAGGAGCAAAGGGAGAGAAUAAAAAGAAACCCAAUUUCUCUGAAGAAGAAGAAGAUUUUCUGGGAUAAGUGUUCAUUCCUUUUAGUUAGAUUAUUCCCAGAGUGAUAAUGCAAUACCUUCUUUUCCUGCUCAAGAGAAAGUGGUUUUCUUUACAAACAUAGACCACCUCUUCUCAGAGUAGGGAACAAUGAUGGCAUUGUGUAGCCACUGGAGGAAUAAUCUAAAUGAAAGACACACACUUAUUCAGAUGUUAGCCAAUCAGACAACUUUUAGUGGAAUGAGUGAGUCAUAAAGUAGUGAAAUUUUGUAACUAAGUAGAAAAGAACACACAAAUGUCAGAAAAAAAUCCUUAAACACAACCCUUUAGUUCAGGAAACAUGCUUAAAUCUUAAGCAGUGUUUUGUGUUCUUAUUACAUUUUAGAAAAACUCUGACAUUGUGGCAAGAUGAAAGAUGAGGUAGUAAGACGUGCUCUGAUGCUCAGUUGUGUCCAACUCUUUCGACCCCAUAGACUGUAGCCCACCAGGCUCCUCUGUCCAUGGAUUUCUCCAGGCAAAAUGCUGGAGUGGGGUGCCAUUUCCUCC